rnacentral:snoRNA from 1 species
CCCUGCUACAAAGGUGUGUCAGUUUCCUGUCCUUGGACACUGAGAAUUGGAGGCAAAGAGAUGUGGAAUUGGAGAACUCUGGGGCCAGCUUGCUCCUUGCAGGCUCAAGAUCACCCUUUCCCACACAG